CGCUCACAACAUGGCGCCGGGGCUCUACCUGCGCGGGCAAGGGCGCCUGCGCACGCUAAUGCCGGGUGGGUGACCCGCCGUCCCGGUUCCCCCCGCCUGCAGGUGCCGGGCUGGUUCGGUCCGGUCCGGUCCGAUCUGCAGGAACUGGGGACAACGAGCCUGUCCGAGGCGAGCCUCUCCGCGGGCGAGAGCGCGGCGCUGCGGGAGGCCCGGGCAGGACCGGGAGCAGUAGCUGUACUCCUUUGCCACUUCUGAGGACAUGGGUCUUCCCAGUGGAGCUGUAAUGAAGAGGAUUAAUCUAGACCUUAGAAAGGUCCAGAAUAAAAGCUCAUGUUGUUGCUGUCUCCAAUACACAGUCAUUUCUCCUGAGAAUCACAUCUGCAAUCUCCAGUGAUGCCUAUUCUUCCACAAGUUGCUGUCCUUCCCAUCAUUGCCUCCUUCCAUUG